UAGUCAUAUGCUUGUCUCAAAGACUAAGCCAUGCAUGUCUAAGUAUAAACACUUUUAUAUGGUGAAACUGCGGACGGCUCAUUAAACCAGUGAUAGUUUACUUGAUCGUAUCUUCUUACUUGGAUAACCGUAGGAAAUCUAGAGCUAAUACAUGCAAAAAAUCCGAGUUGUCCAUAGGUACAACUGGAUGUAUUUAUUAGAUUAAAAAACCAAUGCAAAUAGUUAAUCGCUAGCUAUUUGCAGCCCUUGGUGAUUCAUAAUAACUUUUAACGAAGCG
rnacentral:rRNA from 1 species